GCCAGACAUGGUGCUGCAUGCCUGUAAUCCCAGCAACUUGGGAGGCUGAGGCAGGAGGAUCCCAAGUUCAAAACCAGCCUUAG
rnacentral:sRNA from 1 species